GUGAGGAAUUUUCCGCAAUGGGCGAAAGCCUGACGGAGCAAUGCCGCGUGAAGGAUGAAGGCCUAUGGGUUGUAAACUUCUUUUCUCAGAAAAGAAUUAUGACGGUAUCUGAGGAAUAAGCAUCGGCUAACUCUGUGCCAGCAGCCGCGGUAAGACAGAGGAUGCAAGCGUUAUCCGGAAUGAUUGGGCGUAAAGCGGCUGUAGGUUGUUUAAAAAGUAUUCUGUCAAAGAUUAGGGCUUAACCCUAGAUAGGCAGAAUAAACUUUUAAGCUAGAGUUUGGUAGAGGCAGAGGGAAUUCCCGGUGGAGCGGUGAAAUGCGUAGAUAUCGGGAGGAACACCAAAGGCGAAGGCACUCUGCUGGGCCAAUACUAACACUGAGAGACGAAAGCGAGGGGAGCAAAUGGGAUUAGAUACCCUAGUAGUCC
rnacentral:rRNA from 1 species